UCGAGAAUCUUCCGCAAUGGACGAAAGUCUGACGGAGCGACGCCGCGUGCGGGAUGAAGGCCUUCGGGUUGUAAACCGCUGUCAGAGGGGAGCAAAUUUUGAGCAAUCCUCAGAGGAAGCACAGGCUAAGUUCGUGCCAGCAGCCGCGGUAAUACGAACUGUGCGAACGUUAUUCGGAAUCACUGGGCUUAAAGGGUGCGUAGGCGGCAAUGUAGGUCAGGUGUGAAAUCCCUCGGCUCAACCGAGGAACUGCGCUUGAAACCCCGUUGCUUGAGGGAGACAGAGGUGAGCGGAACUGAUGGUGGAGCGGUGAAAUGCGUUGAUAUCAUCAGGAACACCGGUGGCGAAAGCGGCUCACUGGGUCUCUUCUGACGCUGAGGCACGAAAGCUAGGGGAGCGAACGGGAUUAGAUACCCGCGUAGUCC
rnacentral:rRNA from 1 species